GUCCUCAUCCUCCCUCUGCAGCCUCUCCCCUGCGCUCUUCGGGCGAAUCGGAGAGGCGGGCGCUGCGCUGGGGAAAGUUUUUCUCACCCGCACCUCGCAGCUGGCCUCGAGGAGGGGAGGAGGCGCGGGAAGUACAGCUCCGAGCCUGCGGCCGUGAGGACGACUGAGCUAGCGCCGCGCUUACCUCGCAGUCCUCGUACUUGAUAUUAUCCGUCAGUUUCCAAAGCAUUUUCAUGGAUCGGCGUGAAUGGAUUUGCCCCCUCUCCGCCUCGCACCCAAGUGGAGCUACUCUCUGGCCUAAUCGCCUCAUUAGCAUAUCAACAAUAGUCCAAUUGCUCGCCAGCACCACAAUCUGCCGCCGGCCGCUCCGACCCAGAUGUAACCACCAAACGAAGACCGGCGAAGUCACGUCAGGAUUUUUGCCCAACAAGAGAUCGCCUCCGCUCCCCGGCAGCUGACACCUCCGGCCGCGGCGCCUUGGGACUUUUACUGGCUUCGCGCUUCCCAGCC